GGCGAGGUGGCCGAGUUGGUUAUGGCGCCAGAUUAAGGCUUAUCUAGCAAUCUUCUGGUUCAGAAAUGAGCGUGGGUUCGAGUCCCACCCUCGUCA